AUACUUACCUUGCGAGAGUUCGUGGCGCUCACCAUUGCCUUGAACUUAGCGAGACCUCCUGCAUUGCACAGCGCGGUGAGGGAUUGCUAUGAGUUGCCUGCGGGUACCUCAGUCGUGCAAUUUUUGAUUGUCACCGUCUUUUCAUCAGUACUUUGC
rnacentral:snRNA from 24 species